GUGCCAGCCGCCGCGGUAAUACGGAGGAUCCAAGCGUUGUCCGGAUUUACUGGGUUUAAAGGGUGCGUAGGUGGACUUUUAAGUCAGUGGUGAAAGCCUGUAGCUUAACUAUAGAAUUGCCAUUGAAACUGAAAGUCUUGAGUACAGUUGAGGUGAGCGGAAUGUAUCAUGUAGCGGUGAAAUGCUUAGAUAUGAUACAGAACACCGAUUGCGAAGGCAGCUCACUAAACUGCAACUGACACUGAGGCACGAAAGCGUGGGGAUCAAACAGGAUUAGAAACCCCCGUAGUCC
rnacentral:rRNA from 1 species